GAUGAACGCUGGCGGCGUGCUUAAUACAUGCAAGUCGAGCGAACAGACGAGGAGCUUGCUCCUCGGUCGUUAGCGGCAGACGGGUGAGAAACACGUGUAACCCCUCCCUAUAAUACUGGGAUAACUUCGAGAAACGGGCGCUAAUACCGGAUAAUCUCUUGCACCGCGGGGUGCAAUAGUAAAAGACGGUUUUGGUGUAACUUAUAGAUGGAUACGCGCCGCAUUAGCUGGUUGGGAGGGUAACGGCUUACCAAGGCAACGAGGCGUAGCCGACCUGUGGGGGUGAUCGGCGACACUGGAGCGGGGACAGGGUCCAGACGACUACGGGAGGCAGCAGUAGGGUAUCGUACGCAAUGGGCGAAAGCAUGACGGAGCGACGCCGCGUGAGUGAUGGAGGUGCUCGGAGCGUAAAACUCUGUUACGAGGGAAGAACAGAUGUGUAAGGAAAUAUGCACGGCUUGACGGUACCUAAUCAGAAAGCCACGGCUAACUACGUG
rnacentral:rRNA from 1 species